rnacentral:rRNA from 1 species
AUUGAACGCUGGCGGCAGGCUUAACACAUGCAAGUCGAGCGGGGUGAUGGUGCUUGCACUAUCACUUAGCGGCGGACGGGUGAGUAAUGCUUAGGAAUCUGCCUAUUAGUGGGGGACAACAUCUCGAAAGGGAUGCUAAUACCGCAUACGUCCUACGGGAGAAAGCAGGGGAUCACUUGUGACCUUGUGCUAAUAGAUGAGCCUAGGUCGGAUUAGCUAGUUGGUGGGGUAAAGGCCUACCAAGGCGACGAUCUGUAGCGGGUCUGAGAGGAUGAGACGCCAAGCUGGGAAUGAGACACGGCCCAGACUCCUUCGGGAGGCAGCAGUGGGGAAUAUUGGACAAUGGGGGGAACCCUGAUCCAGCCAUGCCGGGUGUGUGAAGAAGGCCUUAUGGUUGUAAAGCACUUUAAGCGAGGAGGAGGCUUACCUAGUUAAUACCUGGGAUAAGUGGACGUUACUCGCAGAAUAAGCACCGGCUAACUCUGUGCCAGCCGCCGCGGUAA